AGCAAACAGAAAGAACGCAAGACAAUGCUGAGCUCCCUUUUGGCACUUGAGAAAGGCAAAGGGAAGAGCUCAGCUUCCUAACACACCUAUGACCCUGAGUAGGUUCACUUAGUUCAGAGAGAAAAGAAAAAGUUCAGGGCAAACAUUUCUCCAUCACUUCCUCUAAAUGUAACAAAGACAGAACAUUUAAAAAAAAAA
rnacentral:lncRNA from 1 species